CGGGUGAGUAACACGUAUGCAACCUGCCUGCCACAGCCGGAUAACCGGGAGAAAUUCCGUCUAAUACGGCAUAAUGCAUCGACGGGACAUCCUGUUGGUGCCAAAGGUUGAUUCCGGUGGCGGAUGGGCAUGCGUCGCAUUAGUUAGUUGGCGGUGUAACGGACCACCAAGACGACGAUGCGUAGGGGUUCUGAGAGGAAGGUCCCCCACACUGGUACUGAGACACGGACCAGACUCCUACGGAAGGCAGCAG
rnacentral:rRNA from 1 species